GACGAACGCUGGCGGCGUGCUUAACACAUGCAAGUCGAACGGAAAGGCCCCGCUUUUGUGGGGUGCUCGAGUGGCGAACGGGUGAGUAACACGUGAGUAACCUGCCCCUGACUUUGGGAUAACUUCAGGAAACUGGGGCUAAUACCGGAUAGGAGCUCCUGCUGCAUGGUGGGGGUUGGAAAGUUUCGGCGGUUGGGGAUGGACUCGCGGCUUAUCAGCUUGUUGGUGGGGUAGUGGCUUACCAAGGCUUUGACGGGUAGCCGGCCUGAGAGGGUGACCGGCCACAUUGGGACUGAGAUACGGCCCAGACUCCUACGGGAGGCAGCAGUGGGGAAUAUUGCACAAUGGGCGGAAGCCUGAUGCAGCAACGCCGCGUGCGGGAUGACGGCCUUCGGGUUGUAAACCGCUUUCGCCUGUGACGAAGCGUGAGUGACGGUAAUGGGUAAAGAAGCACCGGCUAACUACGUG
rnacentral:rRNA from 1 species